rnacentral:rRNA from 1 species
UACAGAGGUCUCAAGCGUUGUUCGGAUUCAUUGGGCGUAAAGGGUGCGUAGGCGGCGCGGUAAGUCGGGUGUGAAAUCUUGGAGCUUAACUCCGAAACUGCAUUCGAUACUGCCGUGCUUGAGGACUGGAGAGGAGACUGGAAUUUACGGUGUAGCGGUGAAAUGCGUAGAUAUCGUAAGGAAGGCCGGUGGCGAAAGCGAGCCUCUGGACAGUUACUGACGCUGAUGCACGAAGGCCAGGGGAGCAAACGGG